rnacentral:rRNA from 1 species
UGGGGAAUAUUGCACAAUGGGCGCAAGCCUGAUGCAGCCAUGCCGCGUGUGUGAAGAAGGCCUUCGGGUUGUAAAGCACUUUCAGCGAGGAGGAAGGUGGUGAGCUUAAUACGCUCAUCAAUUGACGUUACUCGCAGAAGAAGCACCGGCUAACUCCGUGCCAGCAGCCGCGGUAAUACGGAGGGUGCAAGCGUUAAUCGGAAUUACUGGGCGUAAAGCGCACGCAGGCGGUUUGUUAAGUCAGAUGUGAAAAUCCCCGGGCUCAACCUGGGAACUGCAUUUGAAACUGGCAAGCUAGAGUCUCGUAGAGGGGGGUAGAAUUCCAGGUGUAGCGGUGAAAUGCGUAGAGAUCUGGAGGAAUACCGGUGGCGAAGGCGGCCCCCUGGACGAAGACUGACGCUCAGGUGCGAAAAGCGUGGGGAGCAAAACAGGAUUAGAUACCCUGGUAGUCCACGCUGUAAAACGAUGUCGAUUUGGAGGUUGUGCCCUUGAGGCGUGGCUUCCGGAGCUAACGCGUUAAAUCGACCGCCUGGGGAGUACGGCCGCAAGGUU